AUUGAACGCUAGCGGGAUGCCUUACACAUGCAAGUCGAACGAGAGGCGGACGGGUGAGCAAGAUAUCUGACCGUUCCUAGUAGCGGGGGAUAACUACUGGGACCAGUUGCUAAUACCGCACACUAUUGGAUCGGCCGAUAUCGGAUUAGCUAGUGGGUGGGGUAAAGGCCCACCAAGUCAACGAUCCGUAGCGGGUUUGAGAGGACGACCAGCCACACUGGGACUGAGAAACGGCCCAGACUCCUACGGGAGGCAGCAGUGGGGAAUAUUGGACAAUGGGGGAAACCCUGAUCCAGCCAUCCCGCGUGUAUGAGAAGGCCUUCGGGUUGUAAAGUACUUUUGGCAGAGAAGCGGUAUCUGCAGAAUAAGCACCGGCUAACUACGUGCCAGCAGCCGCGGUAAUUC
rnacentral:rRNA from 1 species